rnacentral:rRNA from 1 species
AUUGAACGCUGGCGGCAGGCUUAACACAUGCAAGUCGAGCGAGCGGCGGACGGGUGAGUAAUGUCUGGGAAACUGCCUGAUGGAGGGGGAUAACUACUGAAAACGGUAGAUAAUACCGCAUACCAUCAGAUGUGCCCAGAUGGGAUUAGCUAGUAGGUGGGGUACUGGCUCACCUAGGCGACGCUCCCUAGCUGGUCUGAGAGGAUGACCAGCCACACUGGAACUGAGAAACGGUCCAGACUCCAACGGAAGGCAGCAGUGGGGAAUAUUGCACAAUGGGCGCAAGCCUGAGGCAGCCAUGCGGCGUGUGUGAAGAAGGCCUUCGGGUUGUAAAGCACUUUCAGCGAGGAGGCGUUACUCGCAGAAGAAGCACCGGCUAACUCCGUGCCAGCAGCCGCGGUAAUUC